GUGGGGGAUAUUGCACAAUGGAGGAAACUCUGAUGCAGCGACGCCGCGUGAGUGAAGAAGUAUUUCGGUAUGUAAAGCUCUAUCAGCAGGGAAGAUAAUGACAGUACCUGACUAAGAAGCCCCGGCUAACUACGUGCCAGCAGCCGCGGUAAUACGUAGGGGGCAAGCGUUAUCCGGAUUUACUGGGUGUAAAGGGAGCGUAGACGGAAUGGCAAGUCUGAAGUGAAAUCCUGCGGCUUAACUGCAGAAUUGCUUUGGAAGCUGUCAAUCUGGAGUGUUGGAGAGGUAAGCGGAAUUCCUGGUGUAGCGGUGAAAUGCGUAGAUAUCAGGAAGAACACCGGAGGCGAAGGCGGCUUACUGGACAAUAACUGACGUUGAGGCUCGAAAGCGUGGGAAGCAAACAGGAUUAGAAACCCGAGUAGUCC
rnacentral:rRNA from 1 species